rnacentral:rRNA from 1 species
GAUGAACGCUGGCGGCGUGCCUAAUACAUGCAAGUCGAGCGAACAGACGAGGAGCUUGCUCCUCUGACGUUAGCGGCGGACGGGUGAGUAACACGUGGAUAACCUACCUAUAAGACUGGGAUAACUUCGGGAAACCGGAGCUAAUACCGGAUAAUAUAUUGAACCGCAUGGUUCAAUAGUGAAAGACGGUUUUGCUGUCACUUAUAGAUGGAUCCGCGCCGCAUUAGCUAGUUGGUAAGGUAACGGCUUACCAAGGCAACGAUGCGUAGCCGACCUGAGAGGGGGAUCGGCCACACGGGAACUGAGCCACGGUCCAGACUCCUACGGGAGGCAGCAGUAGGGAAUCUUCCGCAAUGGGCGAAAGCCUGACGGAGCAACGCCGCGUGAGUGAUGAAGGUCUUCGGAUCGUAAAACUCUGUUAUUAGGGAAGAACAAAUGUGUAAGUAACUAUGCACGUCUUGACGGUACCUAAUCAGAAAGCCACGGCUAACUGCGUG